rnacentral:rRNA from 1 species
AGUGAACGCUGGCGGUAUGCCUAACACAUGCAAGUCGAACGGCAGCACAGUAAGAGCUUGCUCUUACGGGUGGCGAGUGGCGGACGGGUGAGGAAUACAUCGGAAUCUACUUUUUCGUGGGGGAUAACGUAGGGAAACUUACGCUAAUACCGCAUACGACCUACGGGUGAAAGCAGGGGAUCUUCGGACCUUGCGCGAUUGAAUGAGCCGAUGUCGGAUUAGCUAGUUGGCGGGGUAAAGGCCCACCAAGGCGACGAUCCGUAGCUGGUCUGAGAGGAUGAUCAGCCACACUGGAACUGAGACACGGUCCAGACGCCUACGGGAGGCAGCAGUGGGGAAUAUUGGACAAUGGGCGCAAGCCUGAUCCAGCCAUACCGCGUGGGUGAAGAAGGCCUUCGGGUUGUAAAGCCCUUUUGUUGGGAAAGAAAAGCAGCAGGUUAAUACCCCGCUGUUCUGACGGUACCCAAAGAAUAAGCACCGGCUAACUUCGUG